GGCGCUGACGCGGGAGGGCGGGCAGGGCCGUGGGGCGCGCGCGGGAAGGGACUUGUGGGAAGGAAGGGAGCGGAAAGGCCGAGCGCCACCCGCCCCGGGAGUCUCCAGAGCAGCGCGCGGGGCAGACCUCCUCGGGUCCUCCGGCGCUUCGGUCUCCGGAGACGCCCGGCCUCCUGAAGGGUUCGGCUUGUCCUCCUCUGGCGCUCAGCUCCCUCUGGCGGCCGGGCUGGCAGGACCUCAGCGCCCAGCCCUUCCGUCUUGUUACGUCCAGGGUCUCACUCUGUGUCUCAGGCUGGAGUACAGUGGUGCAAUUGUAGAUGGCUGCAGCCCUCGACCUCCUGGGCUCAAGUGAUCCUCCUGCCUUAGCCUCUCGAGUAGCUGGGAGUACAGAUGCACACCACCACACCCAGCCUAGAAUGAAGAAACCUGCAGUUGGGAAGCAUGAAUUUACCACCUAUUAAGAAGUAGUCAUCAGGCAUGACCUCCCAUGGGUGCUCACAGAAGAUGGUGCCGUGCAUGUGCAGAACUUCCCAGGCCAAGAUCCACCACAUUGGACCCACUGAGAGACACACUGCCUUAUGCCAGGGACCUGGUGGAAAGGUCACCCCCAGAAUGGACAGGCUGGGAAGAGCUCACUUAACAGUGCACUGGUUUACUGAGACAAUUCAAAACACACAUUCAUUUUGUGUGCUUAUGAAAUAUAUCCCAAGAUCCCCUUUUAUUUUUCAGAAUUGUGGCUUGCAUUGUAAGAGGAGCCUGUGAAUUCAGAGGCAAGUCUGCUGAGGACCGAAUGUUCCUGUCCAUAAAAACAGAAGUCUGGCCUGGGCUCCUCUCUUGGGUGAAUUUGCAAUGCCAGAUCCUCUCUAUCAGUUUGGUUUUGUUUCUUGUAUCUCUGGGAAGGCAGGCAGACAGCACGGUCACCUGUGAAUGCAGCUACAAUUGGCUUAGCUGCCUCACUGAUAAAUGUGCCCCCAGUAAGCUACAAAGGGAUUACCAGCGUUCUCAGCAGCUAAAGGAACUGGUGAAGAUUUCCCCAGCAAAAAGUAGAAGCUCAGUGUUUCAUAGAUGAAGACUGGGGAGAUUGCAAAAGACCCAUCCAGAGUCUCACUUUGUCGCCCAGGCUGGAGUACAGUGGUGCGAUCUUGGCUCUCUGCAACCUCUGCCUCCCAGGUUCAAGUAAUUCUCCUGCCUCAGCCUCCCGAGUAGCUGGUACUACAGGCACACAUUUGUAGAGAUGGUGUUUCCCCAUGUCAUCCAGGCUGGUCUGGAACUCCUGGGAUCAAGUAAUCCACCCGCCUCGGCCUCCCAAAGUGCUGGGAUUACAGACGUGAGCCACCACGCCCUGCCAAUAAAAAGAUUAUCUCCAGAUGCUGGAAUGACCAGUAAUUUAUUUUCUUCCUUUUUUUUUGUCUGCACUUUCUACCAUAAUCAUAUGUUAGCUUCUUACUAAGAAGAAAAGUCAAUGUUAUUUCCCUGAAAAAGUAAUGUUGUUUGGUUAUUAAACAAAUUUAAUUUUCUAAACAAGAGUACGACAGGUAAACUGCCUACCUUAAAAGCAAACGAACACAAAUAAAUAAACUAACCAUCUUCCACUUCAGUCUCUGUCCUUUCACCAGAGUUGCUGAUCAGCCCAGAAUGGACUGAUUUGAAUUUGCUUAGUUGUUCAUUCAUUCAUUUAUUUAACAAGUAUUUAUUAAGCACUUGCUCUGUAGAAAGCACUGUGCUGGUAUUGGAAUACUGGCUUAUGUAAGUGUGAUAGUAAUGGGAUUCUGACUUAGGCCUGACUCCUGGGCCGUAAUGUUUGGAUACUAUGUAUACAUCUAACUAUAAAACGAG
rnacentral:lncRNA from 10 species